UACGGAGGGUGCAAGCGUUGUCCGGAAUCAUUGGGCGUAAAGGGCUCGUAGGCGGCCAACUAAGUCGGAUGUGAAAUCCCCAGGCUUAACCUGGGGAACUGCAUCCGAUACUGAAUGGCUUGAAUCCGGGAGAGGGAUGCAGAAUUCCAGGUGUAGCGGUGAAAUGCGUAGAUAUCUGGAGGAAUACCGGUGGCGAAGGCGGCGUUCUGGACUGCAACUGACACUGAGGAACGAAAGCCAGGGGAGCAAACGGGG
rnacentral:rRNA from 1 species